rnacentral:rRNA from 1 species
UACGUAGGGGGCAAGCGUUGUCCGGAUUUAUUGGGCGUAAAGAGCGUGUAGGCGGCCGCACAGGUCCGUUGUGAAAACUGGAGGCCUAACCUUCAGACGUCGAUGGAAACCGUGCGGCUAGAGUCCGGAAGAGGAGAAUGGAAUUCCUGGUGUAGCGGUGAAAUGCGCAGAUAUCAGGAAGAACACCCGUGGCUAAGGCGGUUCUCUAGUACGGUACUGACGCUGAGACGCGAAAGCGUGGGGAGCGAACAGG